AUUUUGCAAUCAUUAUUUGAAGUUUGGGCAUAAUGCUAUGGACUGUUGGUACAAUAGUCAUGUAGAUGGAAAUCAUGAGCAGGAAGCAAAGGUAAACCUAGACAGGAACAAGGUGAGGACUAAAAAGCCAAGGCAGAAAUGGAUCCCUAAAGGAAACAAUGAAGCAACCACUUAUUUGGAUAAUGUUGAUGGCAAUGUAACAGUAAAUCCUA
rnacentral:lncRNA from 1 species